rnacentral:rRNA from 1 species
CCUCGGAGUUACACUCCCAACCCCUGUGACAUACCUUACUGUUGCCUCGGCGGAUCAGCCCGCUCCCGGUAAAACGGGACGGCCCGCCAGAGGACCCCUAAACUCUGUUUCUAUAUGUAACUUCUGAGUAAAACCAUAAAUAAAUCAAAACUUUCAACAACGGAUCUCUUGGUUCUGGCAUCGAUGAAGAACGCAGCAAAAUGCGAUAAGUAAUGUGAAUUGCAGAAUUCAGUGAAUCAUCGAAUCUUUGAACGCACAUUGCGCCCGCCAGUAUUCUGGCGGGCAUGCCUGUUCGAGCGUCAUUUCAACCCUCAAGCCCUCGGGUUUGGUGUUGGGGAUCGGCGAGCCUUUCUGGCAAGCCGGCCCCGAAAUCUAGUGGCGGUCUCGCUGCAGCCUCCAUUGCGUAGUAGUAAAACCCUCGCAACUGGAACGCGGCGCGGCCAAGCCGUUAAACCCCCAACUUCUGAAUGUUGACCUCGGAUCAGGUAGGAAUACCCGCUGAACUUAAGCAUAUCAAUAAGGAGGGAGGAUUAAAAAU